GCACAUCUUCCUCUCCUGGGGUUGUGAUGGGUGGUCCUGCCACCACCCGGAGUCCCAGGAAGGAAGAUGUCAGGCCAGCUCUCAUUUCACUGAGAAAUGAGAGCUGUUUGAAGUGGAUGCCGCAGCUACCUACAAUUUGG